GACGAACGCUGGCGGCGUGCUUAACACAUGCAAGUCGAACGGAAAGGCCUGCUUUCCCUUGUGGAUUGCGGGUACUCGAGUGGCGAACGGGUGAGUAACACGUGAGUGAUCUGCCCCCAACUUGGGUAUAAGCCUGGGAAACUGGGUCUAAUUCCCGACAGGACUGCAGGGUGGUGCCUGUGGUGGAAAACGAUUUUCUAGUGGUUGGGGAUGAGCUCGCGGCCUAUCAGCUUGUUGGUGGGGUAAUGGCCUACCAAGGCGGCGACGGGUAGCCGGCCUGAGAGGGUGGACGGCCACAUUGGGACUGGGAUACGGCCCAGACUCCUACGGGAGGCAGCAGUGGGGAAUAUUGCACAAUGGGCGGAAGCCUGAUGCAGCGACGCCGCGUGGGGGAUGACGGCCUUCGGGUUGUAAACUCCUUUCGACCGCGAGGAAGCCACCUGGUUGGAAGGGUGGUGACGGUAGUGGUAGAAGAAGCACCGGCUAACUACGUG
rnacentral:rRNA from 1 species